rnacentral:lncRNA from 1 species
AAAAAAAAAGUGUGAAAUGAGAGGUUGUAAGAGACCAUAAUAUUGGAGAAUAUGAAGAGAUGUGUGUUAAAAAUGAAGGAGUUUUGUAAGUUGAAUUAAGAAAAGGGUAUGACCCUACAACAUUGCGGUGUGAGCUGUUUGAGCACAUGCAGUGCAUAAAUAGGAGUCAGAAGUGAGUAAAAGAGAGGGAGUGGCAGCCCCUUGGUCAUAAAAUGAGGAAUCUUCCAAAUUAUUGGAGAGAAAAGUUUGAAGAAAAUUGGCUUUGGCUUUGCCUUCGGGAACAUCUUCCCAUCUCUGCAUGUGACACCCUACAUCGAAUAACCACCCUCAGUUCGAAUAAUGAAUUCACAAAGAUUGCCAAUUGCCAAUUGCCAACUACAACUUACUUUUAUUUUUCCAUACAUUUUCGGAAGUGGAGACCAUUGGAUUUGGUUUCAACUUUUAAUGGUGGAUGAGUUAGUAAGUUUUUAUCAUAUUCUUUCUCAUAUUAGUUAUCUAAACUUUUUAAACUUUAUAUUAUUUAUACAUUAUAGAAUGUCUUUAUUUUAUAUUGGUUUUUUCUUUUCGGAUUAGUGUUUAGAAUUUUUGGUAUGUAUGCAUUCGAUUCAAAACUUAUGCUGUUUUGGAUAGGUAGGAUGGUUUUUGUGUGUCUAUAAGGGAUCUUAGCUUUGUGGUAGCUUUGAGUAGUUGGAUGUUUUUGGUUGGUGUUGCCGUGUAGGUAGUUAGCAGUAAAAUCCUGAAAUAGUUUAUUGUGCCUUAAGAUAGGCGUCUAUGUUUCAGUAUUCUGUAUAAAGGUUGAACCAUAUCUUAAGUGAAUCAUAAUUAUUUUAUUUUAUUUUUUUCGUUAAAAAAAAUAUAUUUAUCUUUAGUUGACUUCUCCAACACUUACUUUAAAUAAUAAAAUUUAAAGAUUUGGUGUACUGCUAGGUCAAAAUGUCAACCAAAAAGUUAGGUCGAAAUAUCGAGCCGAAAGAUUAAAUAUAAAAAAUAUAAAUAAAUAAAAUUAUAAAUGGUUACUGUAGCAAAACUCAUAAUGAUAGAGCUCAAAUUAACAGAUGUGUGUUUAAAAAAUAUAUUAGGUACAAAAAGAAAAAUCCAAAUAGGUUUUGGGCCCAAUAAGAUAACAUUAUAAAUAUAUAAUCAAUCUAAGAGGUAUAUAGAGUGAACUGAUAAUUAUAUCAAACUAAUUCUGGGUUUGACAUCGGAGUGCUUUACAGGUACACCCACUCAACAAUGUGAGAAGACCAAGAGGAGAAGCCGAGAGGUCCAAUUGAUCUAGCUCAACCUAGUAAGCUUGUCAGCCAUAGGUUCAACCUGAAGCAGGAGUGAACCGAAAGUCCAACAACAUAAAGUAAGAGUGAAUCGAAAGCCUAACUUAAAACAAGAGUGAACUGAAACCCCAACCCAAGAAAUUAAGAAGAUCCAACCGAAAGAAGAAUAGUUUCUAAUCCUUUGUAAGAAACCGUUUUGAUUUAUAUAUUAAUUUUAAUGUAUUACUUGUUUUUUAGAGUAAGAGAAAUAACGAUAACUGUUUUUUGUCCAUUACAAUAUUAGGAAGCUGUGGACCCUCAGAAAUAAUAUUUUAAUGUUUUAUUUUUUCAGUUUUAAUGAACGAUGAAUCCUCUCUUCAAAAUUUUCACCACUCCAACCAAAC